GAAAGGGGUGCUAAUACCGGAUAAGCCCACGGGAUCCUCGGAUUYUGCGGGAAAAGGUGGCCUCUAUUUAUAAGCUACCGUAUCAGGAUGGGUCCGCGUACCAUUAGCUAGUUGGUGGGGUAAUGGCCUACCAAGGCGACGAUGGUUAGCUGGUYUGAGAGGAUGAUCAGCCACACUGGAACUGAGACACGGUCCAGACUCCUACGGGAGGCAGCAGUGGGGAAUUUUGCGCAAUGGGGGAAACCCYGACGCAGCAACGCCGCGUGAGUGAUGAAGGCUUUCGGGUCGUAAAGCUCUGUCAGAGGGGAAGAAAUGAGACUGGCUAAUAUCCAGUUUUCUUGACGGUACCCUCAAAKGAAGCACCGGCUAACUCCGUGCCAGCAGCCGSGGKAAUWCAAGG
rnacentral:rRNA from 1 species